CGUGUAGGCGGCUUGGCAAGUCGGGUGUGAAAUCCCGGGGCCCAACCCCGGAACUGCACUCGAAACUGCCUGGCUAGAGUCCCGGAGAGGAAGGCGGAAUUCCCGGUGUAGAGGUGAAAUUCGUAGAUAUCGGGAGGAACACCAGUGGCGAAGGCGGCCUUCUGGACGGUGACUGACGCUGAGACGCGAAAGCGUGGGGAGCAAACAGGAUUAGAUACCCUGGUAGUCC
rnacentral:rRNA from 1 species